GCCUGGCGCGGGGCGGGGCCUGGUGCUCCUGUUGCGGCGCCGCUUCCUGGUUGGAGUGGAGACCCGGUUUGGGGCGAUGUGCGUUGCUGGCUCUGAGUGCCCUGACCGAGCUCACCGAGGCUGAUCUUGGCAGCCCUCCCGGUUGGCCUGAACAGGGUGGGUGUCCAUGUGGACCACGGCAACGAAGAGAUGAUCUUCUGUUCUUUACUCCUGUUUCCCCGCACAAAGGGGCUCAGCCAGGCCAUCCCAACACUUUUGCAAAUGACUGCUUACAUGUCAUCCUAGGAUGACUACCAAGAAGAUGGCUAAGUGAAAAAACUUUGCCCACAGACAAGGCCCAAGAUCAGAAGCUCGCUGGAUCUCGAUCUCCAUCAGAAUCACUCCAGCACCGUGGGGAUGAUGUCUGGAAACCGACUGGGAGUUACCAGACAAAAGCCAGCUUUUUCCAUCACAUAGAU